ensembl:lncRNA
AGGGAAACUCAGACAUGGGACAAGGGAAACAAUGCUUACUCUCCCAAAUAUAGAGGGAGGAAGGGAACACUUACGAAGGAAAGGAGGGCUAUCAUUUAGCAGGACAUUCAGGAAGAGACUUCCCAUAGAUACAAGGAUAUAUAUGUAAACUCAGUGACUAGGAUCUCAUGGGCAAAGUGUGUCCAGUGGUUCCAUUUAAAAGGGAACUUGAAAUUGAGCCACGGAGCUUGGCUGCAGUCCUCAUGCUAAGUGAUUCCAAGAGGAGACAUUCGCUCAUGACCAAGGUGACCAGGGCUUUGAAGAGGAGAAACAAAGCAGGAAAGAGGUACAGAAACAAUUCAGGGACUAAAUGAAAUGCCCCCUUUGAAUGGGAAUUGGCUACAUGGGGGAGACAAAAAGGAAGGAAUCCGUGAUGUGCAGGCUUAAACCUCUCUCUCUCUCCUCUCUCUCUCCCCCUCUCUUUCUCUCUCUGUCUCUCUCUCACAGGAUUAAUAUCUGUAUAGCCAUUUUGUUGGUAUUUGAGUUGGCAUUUUUGCUACCAGCCAC